rnacentral:tRNA from 1 species
GCCGGAGUGGCGGAACUGGCAGACGCGGCGGACUUAAACUCCGCUUCCCGCGAGGGAGUCAGGGUUCGAGCCCCUGCUCCGGCACCA